ensembl:lncRNA
AUGUACCAGUCAUUUUCCAACACAGUUUGUACAUGUGAAAGCCUCUCAUGGUCUCCUCCUGAUCUUCGUUCUUUUUUCUCCUCUUUUAAUUUUCUCCCCUCUUUUAAGCUCCUUCCUUUUUCCCUUCUUUAUUUUUUUCCCUUCACUGUCCCUUUCUUCCUUUUAUUGGUUCUUCCUUCUUUAUUCCCACAUUGUUUCUUCCUUCCAUUCUUCAUUCCUUCUUCCUGCAUGGACCCUUCCUUCUAUCCAUCAAUUUUCUUUAUUUUGUCCUUCUCUGUCCCUUUAUUCCCUUUAUUUUUUUCCCUUCUUUGUCACUUCCUCCCCUUCAUUAUUCUUUUUUCUUCCUUAUUUCUUCCUGCAUUCUCCUUCUUUCCCUUCAUUCUUCCUGCCUUCCUUCCUUCCUUCACUGUCCUUUUGUUCGAUUCUCUCUUCCUUCCUUCCUUCAUUCUUUCCUUCCUUCCUUCCAUCCAUCCUUCAUCCCUUCCUUCCUUCACUGUCUUUUUCUUCUUUUCAUUCUUUGUUCAAUCCAUCCAUCUUUCCUCCACUGUCAUUUUCUUCCCUUCAUUAUUCCCUCCUUCCAUCCUUCCUUCACUGUCCUUUUCUACCCUUCAUUCUUCCUCCAAUCCAUCCACCAAACCAUCCAACCUUCCUUCACUGUCCUUUUCUACCAUUUAUUCUUCCUUCCUUCCAUCCAUCUAUUCAUCCUUCCAUCAUUCCUUCCUUCCUUCACUCUCCUUUUCACCCCUUCCAUCCUUCUUCCUUCCAUCCAUCCUUCCUUCCUUCCUUCACUGUCCUUUUUCUUCCCUCCCUUCCUUCCUUCCUUCACUGUCCUUUUCUUCCAUUGAUUCUUCUCUUCAUUCUUUCUUCCAUCCAUCUUUCCAUCCUUCCUUCAUUGAUUGUCCUUUUCUUCCAUUCAUUUUUCAUUCUUCCUUCCUUCCUUCCUUCCAUCAAUCUGUCCAUCCAUCCUUCACUGUCCUUUUCUUCCCUUCAUUCUUUCUUCAUUCUUUCCAUUAUAUGUACAGAAUGUUAUUUUCCAUCAGCCUUUUAUGUACAUUCAGUCUUUCACUUCCUGUCUUUUUUCAUUGCCUGUUUUUGUGUUCCAUAAAGUUCCUCUGA